AUCUGUGAGGGAAUCAGCUUUGAGCAGAGUAGCUGCAAGCUGAUCUCAAACUGGAUUACUUCCUUGGAACUGACAGACGGCUCUGUGAAGAAAUCCUUUUGCUCACUCAGACUCUGAGUCUUUUUGCUGUGCCACUGCAGGUAGAUCUAUGCCCUGGACUGCGGUGAUGUGUCAGGAUCAUAAGAACUUCUGUUAUUCAAGGGGAAGAACUUUAGGUCAGCCCUCGCAUCUCUAAAGAACCCCAGCCACAGAAAUCCUGGACCUACUGAAGUCAAAUGCCAUUAACUUCAUAGGGGCUGAGAUUUCACCCAUGAUAUUUUCUAUGCCUGAAGCAUUACUGCAGAAUGCACCCAGAAGCACUGUACUCCAGAAUCUAAGCUUUCAUUGGAAAAAACAAAACAAGUUUCUAGCCCUUAUAGUUUUGAAGAUAAAUUUCAAAAUGUGAACCAAGCAUUAAAAUGUUUUCUUUUGAAAGUCUGUGAACUGACUGCAUGAAACAAUAUGCUCUAGUAAACAAUAGUGCAUAUGGCUGCUUUAUAUUUGCAGUGAGAUGUUAACUCUCAAACUUAACAUUGUUAAAAUGAUCACUAAUUAAAUUGUUCAAUGCACAAA